GAUGAACGCUGGCGGCGUGCCUAAUACAUGCAAGUCGAGCGAAUGGAUUAAGAGCUUGCUCUUAUGAAGUUAGCGGCGGACGGGUGAGUAACACGUGAGUAACCUGCCCAUAAGACUGGGAUAACUCCGGGAAACCGGGGCUAAUACCGGAUAACAUUUUGAACCGCGUGGUUCGAAAUUGAAAGGCGGCUUCGGCUGUCACUUAUGGAUGGACCGGCGUCGCAUUAGCUAGUUGGUGAGGUAACGGCUCACCAAGGCAACGAUGCGUAGCCGACCUGAGAGGGUGAUCGGCCACACUGGGACUGAGACACGGCCCAGACUCCUACGGGAGGCAGCAGUAGGGAAUCUUCCGCAAUGGACGAAAGUCUGACGGAGCAACGCCGCGUGAGUGAUGAAGGCUUUCGGGUCGUAAAACUCUGUUGUUAGGGAAGAACAAGUGCUAGUUGAAUAAGCUGGCACCUUGACGGUACCCAACCAGAAAGCCACGGCUAACUACGUGCCAGCCGCCGCAGUAA
rnacentral:rRNA from 1 species